GAUCCUGCUCAGGAUGAACGCUAGCUACAGGCUUAACACAUGCAAGUCGAGGGGCAGCAUGUUGGUUGCUUGCAACCGAUGAUGGCGACCGGCGCACGGGUGAGUAACGCGUAUCCAACCUACCCUUGUCCAUCGGAUAACCCGUCGAAAGGCGGCCUAACACGAUAUGCGGUUCACAGCAGGCAUCUAACGUGAACGAAAUGUGAAGGAGAAGGAUGGGGAGUGCGU
rnacentral:rRNA from 1 species